rnacentral:rRNA from 1 species
AGUGAACGCUGGCGGUAGGCCUAACACAUGCAAGUCGAACGGCAGCACAGUAAGAGCUUGCUCUUACGGGUGGCGAGUGGCGGACGGGUGAGGAAUACAUCGGAAUCUACUUUUUCGUGGGGGAUAACGUAGGGAAACUUACGCUAAUACCGCAUACGACCUACGGGUGAAAGCAGGGGAUCUUCGGACCUUGCGCGAAUGAAUGAGCCGAUGUCGGAUUAGCUAGUUGGCGGGGUAAAGGCCCACCAAGGCGACGAUCCGUAGCUGGUCUGAGAGGAUGAUCAGCCACACUGGAACUGAGACACGGUCCAGACUCCUGCGGGAGGCAGCAGUGGGGAAUAUUGGACAAUGGGCGCAAGCCUGAUCCAGCCAUACCGCGUGGGUGAAGAAGGCCUUCGGGUUGUAAAGCCCUUUUGUUGGGAAAGAAAAGCAGCAGGUUAAUACCCCGCUGUUCUGACGGUACCCAAAGAAUAAGCACCGGCUAACUUCGUG